GCCCUCUUGGCUUAGUGGUAAAGCGUAUCACUAGUACUCAUUCAAUUCUUCCGAAUCGAUAUGGUUUGCAAAUGAUAAGAUCGCUCGUUCGAUUCGGGCAGAGGGCA